UGUAUUUCCCUGAUCUCUGUCUAUUCUCCAUUCCUCUGUCCUCCCCCUUCUCCUCUCUCUCUACCCAGGACCCCAUCAGCAGGAGGGUCCCCCUACAUGAGCCUGGUCCUGCUCAGGAUUUCUUCCUGUUAAAGGGGAGUUUUUCCUUGCCACUGUUGCUUGUUGGGGGUCAGGCUCUGGGAUUCUGGAAAGCGCCUAGAAACAAUUUUGAUUGUAACAUAUGCUAUAUAAAUAAAUAAAGAAGAUAAAAAUGAUAAGAAACAAAUAUUUCAUGUAAUUUUAGCUGUUUGAGUUCAGCUUUUGGAGAAUAAUAUAAUCCAACAAUUCUCCGGUGGAUCACAGCAGAUCUGGACACACACAGGUGCAGUUCUGUUUGGAACAUUUGUGUGUGUCUGUUCUUUUGUUCACACAAAUGUUCUUGACAAUUCCUUAUUGACUUUGGGGUUUGCCUCUGCUGUUCACCCCUCACUGAUCACGUGCUGUAAAUUUCUGCUGACGUUGGUGCCUUUACUCAGAAAUAAGAUGUAUUUAAAUGACUAUCGUACUGAGAAAAUUAUUUAUUCAAUGAUUAAAUAAUAAUACUGAUAAUAAUAGUAAUGUUAGCUUACUGGUGCCAAGCAAACAGUCCUGGCUCGUAAUCCCUGAGCAGCAGAUCUGUAGCCUGAUUUGAGGUACAGAAGAGACCUCUUGGUCCAUAUUUUAGCUGAGCUCUGGUACCAAGAACAACAAUAAUGUGAAACAACUCUGGUCUCAGAUGUUUGUCUCAAAUCCUGUUUCAACCUGAAGAAGAAAUCCUUUCUUCUUCUCUCCUGAGUCCAUCAGAAGACUGUUGUCCUUUUUGGUUCUGACUAAAGAGGAAGUGAAUGUGACAUCACUUCCUUAUCUAUAGCACGAAUUCAAGAAGAGAUAAAAGCAGCAGUCAGUCAAAUUUCUCAGUCUGGUCACAUCAUCAGGAGAAGUUACAGGACGCUCACGCUCCGUUGUUCAUGCUGCAUUUCUGGUCGUUCUCUGGGGACCUGCUGAGUGGAUCAACUGAGACCAAACACUGCAGAGGCAUGAAGGCUGUGAUGGGACUAUUGCUGAUGUUGGUCAGAGUCUCUCUGGGUGUAGAAACCUCCUGUGAUGGCCAGCAGAAUAAAACUCAGUGUUAUGGAGCUCUGGGAGGAACUCUGGUCCUGCAGUUGAUGGACAAAGUCCCAGAGAUACUGACAUUCAGAUGGAGGAACUCAAAUGUAAUAAUUCUGAGUCGGAUUGGUAAUGGACCUGUGACGAAUAGAUUAUCAAACAGGUCUGAGUUUAUUUCUCAUAAUGGAACAUUGAGGAUGAACAGCCUGAGCAGAACUGAUGGUGGUGAAUAUAAACUUGAAAUAUUUAAUGAGAAUGGAGAGAGCACAGCAGUUCGGACUCUACAGUUGAACAUCCAAGCUCCUGUGUCGACUGUCCGGCUGACGUCUGAGUGUCUGUCCCAGGGAGAGAAGAGGAUGUCCUGCUCCUCUGAUGGAGACAGUCCUCAGUACAGCUGGACUCUGGAUGGAGACACACUGACAGAUGAUCAGCUCCUCUCUGUUAAUAAUGAGACUAAUGAGAUCAUUCUGAAACAAACAGUGUCAGGACGGCUGGUGUGUUUAGUCAGGAAUCACGUCAGUGAAGCCUCAGUAACAGAGAUGAUUUCAACCUGUGGCUACAUUUUCAUUGAGUGUCAAUUAUCAAAUGGGACAAACAUAACACAGUGGGUGUUUGCAGCAAAUAACACACUGUGUAUUAAACCAACAACCACAACAACAACAACAACAACCAUAACUACAGAGAAUGUUGGACCUACAACCCUGAUGGUAACUGGAAUUGUACUCUCUUUGCUGCUCAUCGGCUUGAUGGCCGCUUUUGUGAUGGUCUGUGCUCAUAAGAGAAGAGAAAGCAGCAAUGCUAGAGGAGGAAAUGAUCAAGAGUUACAGUAUGCUGACGUCAAGAGGCAGCAGCCGAGCAGAGACGUGCAACCGCAGGCAGAAAUGGGAGGAUAUGGCCAGAUCACCUUUUCAGCGCAGACCGACAAGCCACCCGCAGGUCGCGGUGCUGUCCAGAGGGGGCAAGAGGUGGAAUAUGGAGAGAUCAAGUUUGCAGAGCGGCCUCAGCAGAAAAACAGACUGAUGGGACCCUCUGGAUCCCCUCAGGGGGCGCCACAGGUGGAAUAUGGAGAGAUCAAGUUCAUCGAACGGCCCCGGAGGGCCAGGUGA
ensembl:lncRNA